ensembl:lncRNA
UAAAAUGUGGUUAAACUUGGGUCUCAUCAGCUUUACAAUAUAGUCUUUAAUAAUAUCUAUAUUUAAUAUUAGUCUAGUUAUAGCUAUUAAAAUGAUGUAUUGGUCAUAUUAUAACAAAUGUAACAUUUUAUUUCAGCAAGAAAUUGAUAGAUUAAAGCUGAGGCAGAAAGUCAUUAAGAAUCAGAGACCACGUCUAGCUUGGAACGACAAACCGAUUGAGACAAAGCGAGAGGAGACAGAGAUAAAAGCAGGAUUAGAGAGACAAGGAAUAAAUGAGAAAGCAAAACAGGAUGAGGAAACGAUAAAAGCACUGACACAAGAGAUUGAGAGAUUGAGAAAGAUUAAGCCAGAAAUGUCUUAUAAAAAAGAUGAAGACAUUUGUAAUCUAGAAAGCGAGAGAGUUAAACUGGUCAACAAAAAGGUACAAGAUUUGGAGAGAGAUGUUGAGAGACUGAAAGAAAUUGAACAGGAUAGGUCAUUUAAAGGAGAAAGAACAAUGCAUAUUGCAAAAAUCGAAGACGUUCAACUAGUCAACAAACAGCUAAAUGACUUGAAGAGUGAGGUUGAAAUAUUGAAACAGAAGCAGUUAUUUCAAAAGCAAAGAUCCAUGCAUAUUGCAGAGAGUGAGGGAGUUAAACUGUUCACCAAACAGCUAAACGACUUGAAGAGAGAGGUUAACAAUUUGAAAGAAGACAUGACAAGUAAAGAAAUUCUAUAUGAAAGAAGAUUUGAAGUUGCAAAAAAAGCGCAUAAAAGACAGAAUGAAAGAAUUAAACAAGUUAACCAACAUUUAUUACAACUAGAGAAAGAAAUAGUGAUAAUUAAAGAAGCGAUUGGAUUGAAUAACUGCCCUAAAGCAACCAUGCGGUUCAAAGGCGAAAUGAUACAGGUAAGUGGGGAAGGGGGUGGACAGAACCAACUGGACAUGAAGGAGGAGGAAACAGAGAGUGAGAAUGACGUACAAAAAGAGAAAAAACGAAUGAGACUUGAGAUGGGACCAAAAGAGACUGAAAUAAUAAAUGCAAGACGGAGAGAGUAUUACAUGUCAAUCUACAGGGAAAGACUGAAACAGAGUAAGAAUAGAGAGAUGCUAAAGAUUGCAAGAGAGAAGAGAGAGCGAGAGAAAGAGAUGGAGGAGGAAAGAGAGAGACAGAAAAUGAAGACAGAGGAGAGACAAAAAGAGAGGGCAAGAGAGGAAAGAGAGCAGGAGAAAGAGAUACAGAGAGAGAAGGAAAGAGCCAGACAGAAGGAGAUGGAGACAGGAAGAGAGAGACAAAAGGAAAUCAGGGAGAUGGAAAGAGAGAGACAGAGAGAGAAAGAGAAUGAGUGUGAAAAGAUUGGGAAAGAGAUUGAGGAAGCGGAGGACAGAAGGUCCAAAGUAAAUAUGAAUGAUAUAUUAACUAUAAUCAAAUCAAAAGGACUGCAACAGCAUCAAAGGCGGAGAGAAAAGUGCCUACAAAGUUUCAAGGUGGAUCAAGAACAGAGAGAACAGAAAGAACAGAGAGAAAAGAAAGAACAGAGAGAACAGAAAGAACAGAGAGAACAAAAAGAACAGAAAGAACAGAGAGAACAGAAAGAACAGAGAGAACAGAAAGAACAGAGAGAACAGAAAGAACAGAGAGAACAAAAAGAACAGAGAGAACAGAAAGAACAGAAAGAACAGAGCGAAAGAGAAAAACUCAUGAGGGAGAAAGAGGAAAGACUUCAGGAGAUGAAAGGGAAUCAGGAAUGGUUAAGACAGCAAAAAGAGCUGAAUAUACAGAGAGAGAGAGAACACGCCAGCUACAUCGCUUCAGCCAGAGUAAAACAGAAAAGAAUUGAGGACCCUGCCCCUUCCAAUAAGAGUCUUAUUAGGAGAGCUUUUCGCUGGAUGCGUAGGAUGUUUGGACUGAAGAACCUCCGAAAGAAGCUGGUAAAAAAUUAAAGGAAGCCCUUGUUAGUCAUGGAAGCCAUUUAGAGGUCAGUAAUCUUUAUUUACACUGUUUGUCACGCCCCCUUCCCCGUGACUCUUGUUUGUUCAAUGUACAUGUUGUUUCCGUCGUUGUUUGUUGGUAUGUUUGCCCGGUGCGUCUGUUCCAUGUCUGUCCUGGUGUUGUGUUCUGGUUGUCCGGGCAACGAGGCGGGGGCGGGGUGUUCCCCACCUGACAGUCAUUAUCCACUCUCGCACCUGUUCCUGAUCUGCAAUCCACCACAGCAUUUAGAAGAGUGUAGUAUUUGUGGAGAUAUAAUAACACACGCAGACACAGAGCCAAGACAAACCCGACAACUGCAUGCACCUGUUUGUCACCCUGGACCUCGGAGCCACCCUGCACCUAGAUUCCACGCCAACCCAUAGCCACUCGGCCCACCCCCCUGACACUGUUGUUAUACGUACGGCAGCUUUUGAAUUUUAUUUUAGGUCCAAAUGUGAUGAGGUUAGGUACUACUGAGUGUAACACAUUUGUAAAAGUUGAAAUACUAAUUACAUUCUUUCCUUUUUUUUGUGUUAUGUUGUGUUGUGUUGUUUUUUGGGAAAUACUGACCCAAUACUUUCCUGUUUCUGUGCUUUUCCUGUUACAG